UCCUAGCCCACCGGAGCAACGGCAUCUCGCCGAAGUUCGCCUCUGUUCGCCUCGGCCGCCGCGGUUCCUCCUUGGUUCCGGCGAGCUCGAGCAUCCUCUCCUCCUCUGGUGUUGUCCACCGCCUUCCCCACGUCCCGGCGAACCUCCCUACCCACUUGCCCCCUCGCCGGAGCCCCUAUUUCGCCGAAUACCUCCACCGCCAGAGCUCUCUGUAGCCUCCUCGGUCGCCGCGUCCCACCGCCUCUCCACCACUCUCCGGCGCCUCCUUUGCCUCUGAAUGGGUGCGGUGCUCCGCCCCGAAGCCGCCGGUGCCCGCGCCUUGGUUUGAGGUGGCCGGAGCAGCCCGUUCCAUCGCCGGCGCCCGCCCUGCUCCUCUCUGUUCUCCUCCCGUCGCCACUUCCCCAAGGCAUCCCCGUCGUCCCUGCUGCCUCUCUCCGCUGCGUCCGGCCGAGCCGCGCCCGCCGGUGGCCUCCGCCUGGCCGGAUUUGGCCGGAGCCGCCUGGGCCCCUCGCUGCGCCCACCUCCGCUGCUUCGCUCCACUGUCUCCGAUCGGGGAGGCAGGAGGAGGAAGACGACGACCUGACUCGGCCCCCCUGGCCGCUGGACCCCACGUGCCAGCCACACAUCCCGGGCCCAGGGACUCGUUGGUGAUGAAAAUAUUCACAGAUUGGUCCCUGAUCUUCUUCACCUUGUAACUUCUCAACCGUAACUCCGUUUAAGCCCCUCCGAGAGAGAACUGUUUCCGGCAAAUCUUUUC